CAGCGAAGCUUCCUUGGUCUUGGCAAUGACGGCAAAGAUACACGCAACAAUGCCCGUCAGGUCGCCAUGGCUGAUCGUCCCGCACCGCAGAAGCACCAGGGACACACUCAGUCCUACUCCAUCGAUCCACACUGGUACAUGGACUCUGGGGCGACAGAGCAUCUGACCAGCGAGAUGGGGAAGCUUCACACUCGUGAACCCUAUCAUGGCUCCGACAAGAUCCACACCGCCAAUGGAGCAGGUAUGCACAUCUCUCAUAUUGGUCAAGCAUCUCUUCUCACUAGACAUGCCAAUAGGAGUCUUCAGCUUCGCAAUGUUCUUCGCGUUCCAUCUGUGACCCGCAAUCUUCUUUCAGUUCCUAAACUCACACGUGAUAAUAAUGUGCUUUGUGAAUUUCACCCUUUUGAUCUUUUUAUUAAGGAUCGGGGCACGAGGGACAUUCUUCUUAGUGGGCGGUUGUGCCAGGGCCUCUACCGUCUGGAGCAUCCUGGCGUCGCUCGCGUUUUCAGUGGAGUUCGGGUCUCUCCGUCACAGUGGCAUGCUCGUCUUGGUCACCCGGCCACACCUAUUGUC
rnacentral:rRNA from 1 species